CUCUUGGGGGCUCCUGGUACACAUACUGUGGUAUGAACGCUUCAUUGAUGGCUGGUUGCUUUUGAGCCUCUCUCGUUUCCUGUGCAUCAAGCAGCUGCUUCAACUGCUCUUGUAGAGCUCGAAUUUGGAUUUGCUCUGGAGUAGCCAUCAUUCCUGUCUCAACUUGAUCGUUCUGCUUCUUUAGGUUGCGCAAGGUUUUAUUGAUUUCAGGGUCAAACUCAAAGAGAGGAUUUCCGUGAGAUCGUGUGUUCAUAUGCAACCUACAGAAACAGCAAAAAGAUCAGAAAAGAAAAA
rnacentral:lncRNA from 1 species